CGACCAGGUGCCACGUCUGUGCUCUGGCCGCUGCCUUCGCAGGGCUGCACUGGGCCGUGCCAGCUGUAGGAGGAGCUGGAAGGAAGAAGGGAGGAGGACGGAAGUGGGAAAGGGGCACUCACUCCCCAGUUACAGGCCGUGGUCAGUGGCUGCGGCCCGGGGAAUAGCCAGGAACCAGGCAGCCCAUUGUUAUGAUGCCAGGGUACCGCUCUGCUUGGGUGGAGGAGGGCCAGAGCCCGGAUACGGAGGAGGGGGAAUGAGGUGGCACCUCGGAAAUAGGACCGGGCAGGGGCCACAAGACAGGGGCUGUAGCCACGCCCUGAACAUCGUGGGGUUUGUGAGCUCUUGGUUUCCAGUGUGCUUUCUGCCUCGUCCUCACGAGCUGGACAGCCACAGGCUCCCCUGUUGCAUUUCUCUGCCUGAAGCCGACGGCAGCCUGAAGGGCAAGGGCAUCAAUUUUGUUGGAGGAAAGGAGAAAAAUAAACCUUUAGAACAACUUGACAAUAAAAAAACCCAGCCAACAAAACGCCCAGCCUGGCAGGACGAUGCAACUGGGAGAUGCUGGUGGCUGAGGCUGGGUGGCCACUGGUUGUCCUGGGCCAUCUGGCGUCCGUCCGUGGGCGUGUUGCCCUGGCCCUGCCCCGUGCUCCAGAAGGUUCUGUGUUUUGCAGGUCACUGGUCUAGAGUCUGGCCCAAGCAUCUCCAUAGCAACAGCGUUCAUUCCGGGUUACUCACUGCUUCUGUUCAUUAAAAGGGAAAAAGAAAGCUUACAGGGAGAGCAGAGGGUCACAUUCAAGGCUCGCUCAGCACCCAGCCUCCACCUGAGAAGGCACGGGAGCUGGGACGUCUCUGCCCCUGGGCCUCCAGGCUCCCCACGGAAGCUGGUGCUCAGCUGGGACCCCCGAGACACCCGGGUGGGUCACGGGCGCCCCCCUGCACGCCCCCGUUCCCUGUGUCCCGUGGAGCUGCAGCCCACUGUCCACUUCCACCAUCGGGCCGUGGCCUCCGUGGGCUCCCAGGGGGCCUCCCUCCUUCCAUGUCCUCCAGCUCGGCCAGUGGAGGUGUCCAGGGGGCGUCUGAGCACAUGCGGUGCCCACAGUUCAGACGCCUUCUGGGCAUCGUGAUGCAGCCAGGGAAGACUGUCACCACGGAGACGAGCAGGCUACACACCACACCCGAACAGACACUGUGCACAGCUCUGCCGGCUCCUGCCACUCCUCUGAAGGGCCCCUUCAUCUUUCCAAAGGUCGCUUGUUUUCCUAUAAGUGCCCUUCUCCCUUCCCCUGUCAACUCCCCCUAAGAUGGCAGAUAAGCCCCAAAUUCUAACCACUGCUUUGAGUCACAUUUCUCUGUGAACUCCCAAGUACAUACAUACGUGAAUAAAAAUCUGUCUUUUCU
rnacentral:lncRNA from 1 species